UGAUGACGAGGCACCACGGUGCUGAAGCAACAAAUGCCCUGCUUCCAGGAAAAGCCUCUAAGCCUCAGGUAACAUCAAAUCGUACCCCAAACCGACACAGGUGGUCAGGUAGAGAAUACCAAGGCGCUUGAGAGAACUCGGGUGAAGGAACUAGGCAAAAUGGUGCCGUAACUUCGGGAGAAGGCACGCUGACACGUAGGUGAAGUGGUUUACCCAUGGAGCUGAAGUCAGUCGAAGAUACCAGCUGGCUGCAACUGUUUAUUAAAAACACAGCACUGUGCAAACACGAAAGUGGACGUAUACGGUGUGACGCCUGCCCGGUGCCGGAAGGUUAAUUGAUGGGGUCAGCGCAAGCGAAGCUCCUGAUCGAAGCCCCGGUAAACGGCGGCCGUAACUAUAACGGUCCUAAGGUAGCGAAAUUCCUUGUCGGGUAAGUUCCGACCUGCACGAAUGGCGUAAUGAUGGCCAGGCUGUCUCCACCCGGGACUCAGUGAAAUUGAACUCGCUGUGAAGAUGCAGUGUACCCGCGGCAAGACGGAAAGACCCCGUGAACCUUUACUAUAGCUUGACACUGAACACUGGUCCUUGAUGUGCAGGAUAGGUGGGAGGCUUUGAAGUGUGGACGCCAGUCUGCAUGGAGCCAUCCUUGAAAUACCACCCUUUAAUGGCUGGUGUUCUAACGUGGGCCCGUGAACCGGGUUGCGGACAGUGUCUGGUGGGUAGUUUGACUGGGGCGGUCUCCUCCUAAAGAGUAACGGAGGAGCACGAAGGUUGGCUAAUCCUGGUCGGACAUCAGGAGGUUAGUGCAAUGGCAUAAGCCAGCUUGACUGCGAGCGUGACGGCGCGAGCAGGUGCGAAAGCAGGUCAUAGUGAUCCGGUGGUUCUGAAUGGAAGGGCCAUCGCUCAACGGAUAAAAGGUACUCCGGGGAUAACAGGCUGAUACCGCCCAAGAGUUCAUAUCGACGGCGGUGUUUGGCACCUCGAUGUCGGCUCAUCACAUCCUGGGGCUGAAGUAGGUCCCAAGGGUAUGGCUGUUCGCCAUUUAAAGUGGUACGCGAGCUGGGUUUAGAACGUCGUGAGACAGUUCGGUCCCUAUCUGCCGUGGGCGCUGGAAGAUUGAGGGGGGCUGCUCCUAGUACGAGAGGACCGGAGUGGACGCAUCACUGGUGUUCGGGUUGUCAUGCCAAUGGCACUGCCCGGUAGCUACAUGCGGAAGAGAUAAGUGCUGAAAGCAUCUAAGCACGAAACUUGCCCCGAGAUGAAUCUUCCCUGAGCCUUUAAGGCUCCUGAAGGAACGUUGAAGACGACGACGUUGAUAGGCCGGGUGUGUAAGCGCAGCGAUGCGUUGAGCUAACCGGUACUAAUGAACCGUGAGGCUUAACCUUACA
rnacentral:rRNA from 1 species